AUGCCUUGCAGAAAGGCAAGACUGCGGCGGCGGCAACUACGAGUCCAUGUAGACAUUGUGUCGUCGAGUGUGUCUGAGGUGGAGAUGCCGGCGGUGGAUUAUGAUGAUGGUGACGAUGUUGAUGAUGAGCCUGUCAAGUCUGAAGAAGCAGCAGCUCCGUCUGAAUCUGAUCAGGCCGCCGAGGAAGCGGCCGAGGAGGAGACGAUGGCGAUGAUGAUGGGACUGGGGGGGCUGGCCGACGAGGCGGCUGAGGAGGCGGCCAACAGCGGAGCCAAGAAGAAGAGGAGAGGCAAUCGGUCGGCCCACGACAUGAUGGUGGAAGCGAGAGAGAAGCAAGGGGAAAGACCUGAGGAAGCCAACACCGAUCCAUAUGCCUACGAGGCCCGCGGCCACCGCGCAGAUUGGGACUGGAUCUUCGCCCGACACUACGGCCCCUUCGACCAGACCACGUCCAUCCCCGCCUCGUGCUUCACCGGCCUUCGUCGGCCUACCAAGUGCUACGCCAGCACCCAGGAGAUGCUCCAGAUCUUCUGGAUCAAAGUCCGCAAGAUAAAGAAGCCCCUCAAGUGGCCAUUACAGGUUUUUGGUUCGAUCGCCGUGCGGGAUGUGCUGGAUCACAAUCGCAUCAUGGUCUUCGAUCGCCAAAGGGAUAACUGCCAAACCCUUACUAAGAAGGAUCGAUUUCUUACGCUGACGGGUCCUACCCGAGGAGUUGUGGUGGAUGUACAUCCUACCUAUGUUGAGGUUGAUCUGAAGGCGAAGGGCGCCACAGAAUCUGAGGAUAGAGAUUUAAGCUAUUUAGUAGUCAGGUCUAUGCCCUGCAGCCCCUGUUAUGGUGCCGUCCCUAGCAAGCUUAGCACAUUGGAGUUGGCAUACCUUCGAAUGUACGACUGUGUGGAAGCCGCAAUCAGUGUCAAAGUCAGAAAGCAUGGGUUUUGGCCUGGUUGCCGAGGUUUAUUCACUGCCAGCACAGCUAGUUUGGAAGACAUGGAGAUCCCGUUGCUUGCUUUUGAAGGAGAUAGGUUGCCAGUUGAUGGUGGUGGAAGGCUUGAGCUUUCACGCUGUGUGGUCUGCGUCGAGCUUCGGCAGCCCGAAGGUAAGCUCUUGUUUUCGGCGAAGGCACUGCGUGGUGGUGAUGAGAAAGAUGUGAGGAGAGUUCGUAAGACUUUCACUCCCAAGAAGGCUGGUAAAACCAAGGAGAAUAUUAAGAUUGGUUCCUGUGAGAUGGAGGUAACUGUCACAUGGUCCCUUCUUCCGAGUUGUAAGUAUGAUUAUGACAGUGCUUUGAGAAGGUAUUAUUAA
rnacentral:rRNA from 1 species